GAUGAAGAACGUAGCGAAAUGCGAUAAGUAAUGUGAAUUGCAGAAUUCAGUGAAUCAUCGAAUCUUUGAACGCACAUUGCGCCCGCCAGAAUUCUGGCGGGCAUGCCUGUCCGGGCGUCAUUUCAACCCUCAAGCCCCCGGGCUUGGUGUUGGAGAUCGGCGAGCCCCCCGGGGCGCGCCGUCUCCCAAAUAUAGUGGCGGUCCCGCUGUAGCUUCCUCUGCGUAGUAGCACACCUCGCACUGGGAAACAGCGUGGCCACGCCGUAAAACCCCCCACUUCUGAAAGGUUGACCUCGGAUCAGGUAGGAAUACCCGCUGAACUUAAGCAUAUCAAUAAGCGGAGGA
rnacentral:misc_RNA from 1 species